rnacentral:lncRNA from 10 species
GAACAUUCUUCCCCCUCUCAUUAAUCCUUCAGGCCUCAGCUCAGAUGUCACUUCAUCCAGGAAGUCUUACCUGACUCCUCCCAGGAGCCCCAUAGGUUAGGUGCUUGUGCCCUUUACUCUCCCACCAGCCAGCAUACUUUGUAACUAUUGUUUAUUCAGUUAUCUCUCUGCCAGCCAAGUGAUGGCCCAUCUAUGUGAAUCUCGUAAACUACUGCAUCCCUGGAGCUGCCAUUAUAAGGCUGAUAAAUGUUUGUUGAGUGAAUGAAUGAAUCUAGGCUGGAUGCUGUGGUCAGGAAAAUGGAAGCCUAGAGGGGAAGUGGAUUUUCUCAAGGUCACAGAGACCAGGUGAUUGACAGACCAGGUCUCCAGCCCCUCUGCUGUAUGUGAGAGACAGGUACACUGCACUCACGGGCUCUGUGACCCUCUUGCAGAAGAUGGCCAGCAGGAAGAGAGCGGUGAUGGGUGGGGCCAGGUAACUGGUGACAGCCUGGAUGUAGUCGAAGAGCUGCCCACUGUUGGAGCUUUGGAUGAUGGGGAUCCAGAGGAUGCUGAUGACAACCAGGAACACCACAAACACUCUGCCAGAGAGAGCACAGGGCACUGAGGCACACUCGGGUGGGCAUGGUGUGGUGUGGGGUGAAGGUGAUGCACAGGAACCAGGAAGGGAGAAAGAAGGGGAAUGUACAAUCACUAGAUCAGAGAAGGUUGGCAGCCAGAAUCUCAAAUACUAAGAUUCAGAAACUUAGUCUUAAAAUCCCAGAAUAUAGGAAUUUUGGAACUGAAGAACCUUAUAAUUCUAAUGCCUCCGUGGCACUUAUAUAUUAGACGGCUUCAAGGUCAUGUCACCCACCUGUUGCUGUUCAAGGAGGAAUUCAUACAUUCCACCCCACCCCCCACCCCAGUCAAAGGCCUCUGGUCUCUGCUUAGAAUGUCUUCUCUUUUCCAUCCCUGCCCUGUGUAGGGCAGCUCUUUCCCAGGAUGACUGCAGCUUCCAGGGACUGCUCCUUCCUCCACGCGCUGAUCCUCUCUCCCUUACUGUGGCAUUGAUCUUGGGAAAGAAUCCCACUUAUUCACCUGACUCCUUCUCAACAAACUGUGGCUCAGACCUAAGUCCCCAAAGCAUUCUGCAUGUAUGAUUUUGCAGAUGUGUGAAGUUGUUGAUGAAAAACUUUUCUUGGAUGUGUUGGGUGCAAUAACACAUAUGACCAGUAGAUAGAGCACAAACCUCACUGAUUGAGGAAAUGGUAGCAAAACCAGUUCAUAUGCACAGAUAAGGAAUGCUUCUUUUGACAUGUCACUGCAUACCUGUCUUCUCCUCUCCUUUUCCUCCCAUUUUGCCUCUCUCAGACUCCACUAGAGCAUCAGCCCCCCAAGUAGCUUCCCUGCUGCUCAUCCCCCUCCUCUUUGCACAAUCUGUCCUGCACUCAGAUCCUGCAAUGGCCAGUCCCCUUGCCUAGGGCUGGGGGUGCACAGAUGAGCAAGCAGUAGGAAUCCAUUAGGCAGCCCUGGGCAGAAGGCAUCCUAGUGGAAAGAACAGUGAGUGCAAAGGCAGGGAGAUGUGAAAGAGCAAGCUUCCUAAAUUCAAGUACCUAUCCACAAAGUGGGAGAACUUUAGUCCAGAAAUCCAAGUUAGGGAACCUUCGAUUAUGAAGCAAAGAUCUAAAAAAGGGCCCCUUAACCUUAUGUAAACUACAAAUCUCCAGCCUAUGGAAAACCAAAAAUUUUAGCCACCAAGUUAUGCUUUUAAAAGCAUAAAACUGUUACCCACAAGAUAAAGUUCGAAUUCCUUAGCUUGGUGUCCAAGGCUCUGCAUCAUUUGGAGAGAGCCCUCCUAUGAAAAUCUCCAUUGACGCAAAUACCUUGCUGUGUUACCUGUGUUUCUACCUUCCUUAAUAAACUGUGAGCACGCUGAGGGCAGGGCCAUAUGACCCAUCCGUGGGUCCCCUGCAUGUGGGAUGUGAUGCACAGUAGAUGUUCAGAGUGAAUCUGAUGGAUCAAAUUAAUAGCAUUUUUUUUUAACCGGGCUUAACAUCCGGAGUUGGUUGGGAAUACCUUGGGUGAGCUGCUUGCUAACUUUCCAUGCACUUACACAGUUUACCUUUCAUUUCUUAAGUACUUUUUCAUCUCUCGACAACCCUGUUGAUCAAUUUCAAGAUAAAGUUACCAGGGAAGAGGUGUUUUUUCCUAUUAUUCUGAAAGGAGGAGUGGUCCAGGGUUGGCGAAGGACUUACUUGAAAUCAUGUGGAGAGCUGGAGCUUGAACCCGGUGCUCUGGCUGCCAGUCCAGGGUCCAACCCAGCCACCUCUGUUCAGGGUAACCCAGGGCAGGGCAGAGGGGAGAGGGCACUUCGGAAGGAGGGAAGGAGGGGCCGGCGCACCUGCCCACCACCAUCAGCUCCUGCUCUGUUGACUUCCUGCGGAAGCGCUGCCACACAUCAAUGGUGAACAGGGUGCUGCUGCUGUUGAAGAUGGAGUGAUUGUCAGCUUCCCCUCAGCAACACGCACAUGGUGAUGCACUCAGCAGUUCCCUAAUUAGCAUUUCCAGACACAGUGACCACAUUGCAGUGACACCUACCGAGAUCUUGGUGAAGAUGUAGAGGAUGAGAGACAGGACAGACAUGUACACCUGGAUCCUCUGGCCCCCAAAUCGCUUCUUCAGAUACUGCGGCA